rfam:Hordeum vulgare subsp. vulgare, WGS project CAJW01000000 data, contig: morex_contig_66671
UAUAUACUUCCUCUGUCCCAAAAUUCUUGUCUUAGGUUUGUCUAGAAAUGAAUGUAUCUAAAUACUAAAAUGUGACUAGGUAAAUUCAUAUCUAAACAAAACUAAGACAAAAAUUUUGAGACGGAGGGAGUACAUA